GGGGGGGGCAAGCGUUGUUCGGAAUUACUGGGCGUAAAGGGUGCGUAGGCGGCUCUCUAAGUCGGAUGUGAAAACUCUGGGCUCAACCCAGAGCCUGCAUCCGAAACUGGAGGGCUAGGGUUCUGGAGGGGAAAGCGGAAUUCCUGGUGUAGCGGUGAAAUGCGUAGAUAUCAGGAGGAACACCGGUGGCGAAGGCGGCUUUCUGGACAGAUACCGACGCUGAGGCACGAAAGCUAGGGGAGCAAACAGGAUUAGAUACCCUGGUAGUCCUAGCCCUAAACUAUGGAUACUUGCUGUGGGGGGGAUUGAAGCCCCUUGUGGCGAAGCUAACGCAUUAAGUAUCCCGCCUGGGGAGUACGGUCGCAAGGCUGAA
rnacentral:rRNA from 1 species